rnacentral:misc_RNA from 1 species
UAUAGUUACUUAGAGUUUCAACGCGAUGAGACUUGUGGUACUGGGUCUCUUUCUCCUGCCCCUGGUUUCGGGUCUGCAGAGUCACCAUUUUGACCACAAUGUGGACGUUAAGCAUCCAGAAAGUGGAGAGCAUGUAAAACUCAGAAGUAAAGGUCGUCUUAGUGAAGCAAUCGACUUGGACCGGGUACAAGGAAUAAAGAGAGUAAUAUGCGAAGAUCAAAAGAUUUUGAUUGCCGUGGAACACAAGGGGGUCGGAAGAGAGUGGAAGAAAGGCCAGGUUGUGAUGGGUAGUCCUAAAUGGGACUGUAGAUUGAACACAUUACCCGGUAGUCCGUCUGCUCAACGAGGAGUCUACGCCAAAAUCAAGGAAAUCUUUUUCCCCACGGAGACGGGAGUUGUUCUUCACACCCAGACGGUCAGGGCAUUCGAUGUCAUAGACGAAGCGGACAUUAAGUUUCAAUACACCCCGGGAAACAGCGAGUCUCAUUCCACGGAAACACGCAGACGACACCGUCGUUAUAUCGCCAACGUUUUGUCGGAACUUUUGGGAAAUAUCACCUGGCAGUACAGUGAUUCAACGUCCAUUCCGUGGAAUUCAGACGAUUCAGGAACCGGGGAGUCCUUUGGUUUGGCAAUUGGAAGCAACGACACCGAAUACCGCUUCACCGAGAACGUGACGGAUAAUGACGUCAUGGGAUUCGUCUGCGAGGACUGCAGUGGGAUAUCUCAUAUGUCGUAUGAAUUCGAUCUGGUUAUAAAGAAGAACGCUAUGAAUGAACCAGAAAUUCAUCGCUAUCUGAACAAACUGGAAUCAAACACUAAAAUGAAACUGAAAACCACUUUCAAAACCUCGAAAGAUCUAAAGCUUGCUGUACACAAGGAGAUAGACACGAUGCAUGUUCCACCGACAAUGUUGUUCUCAGUUCCUCUGGCGCAUGUGCGAAACCUACCUCCCGUAAUGCUGACUGUGAAGUACACUGGCGCCACGCACGUAGACUUGCAAGUAGACACCCGUGAUGCAGUUUCCAUAGAAACGGACAUCGAACUAGGGGGAAACUAUUCCUUCGCUCAUGAAUACCGCGGGACGUCAUCUUUGGGGGGAGACGUGGUACCCCACAACUGGACCUCCUCCACCCAUCGUAACACUGUAAACACCGACAAGGACAUGUCUGUCAAUAUCUCCGUAUACCAACAAAUACUAUUCAACACAACUAUUGGGUGGUUUGCACGUGAUAUGGAGAUUGACUUUUCGCCACCAGUUAAAUACAGUCUUAAGCCAGCGAUUCGCAGCAAAUCUACGAUCGAGGAUGUAAAGCGAUGUACAACGAAAACUGCUGAUCUUGCGGGCAAUUUCAAUGUCACUGAAGCAAGGCUAACAGUGGAAGCAUUUGGAGUGUCCAUAUGGAACACUCUUAUUAGCCAAAGGGUUCAACAAAACAGUAAGCUUUGAAAACGACACGCUGUACAAGAAGUGUUCUGCCGAUUGUCCACUUUCUACGAAGACAUCCUUGUAUGAAGGGUCUGACUAUGACCGAUGUAUUGGGAGACCCAAAAAUGUCCAUCAGAAGAAAUGAGCCCGACUUCCACAUUUUAACACAGAUGUGGGGAGACUCUGUCCUGUUUUCUUCAGAGGAGGCAAAUUCGUCAUAUUGGUGUGGCACUCCUGGUCGACAUUGCGGAAACUGCGUUUAUCAAGGAGCAGACGACAUAACCCAGGAAUGUGCAGACCGUCUUAUGGUUCCCAAACUUGCAACGAAAAUUAGCCUUCUUGGAAAAUAUGUGAACGCAGAAUGGCCAAGCAAAAAACUGCUAGUUGUCGAAGCAUGGGAUGAGCCAACUUCUUCCAAUCCACGUGGGAAACAUGGCGAUGCUAGCUUGUUCUAUGAAGGGAAGGCAGCGCAACUAGCCCUGACCUAUAGCAAUAACUCUUUAACCAUUCCCCCCUAACGUUAUCAAAGAUGAUGCAGAAAAUACACGCCUUGAGCAACUGGCAAUUUGUACUGGAUUCCAAUACGUUUCGAAACUGAAAUCUGAUUCAAGCAUAGAAGUUGCAGUAGGGGAGAAGCGGUCAUCUGGAGAUCAAGGCAGAAAGGUUAAAAAAGUUUCACUGGAUAGUAGAGAGAGCGCCGAGAAGGGAAGCUAUGAUCAACGCAAUGAAACGGCUAGAAACUGUUUUACCCGGUAAGAAAUGCCCUAAUGUCGGUUUUGACAGCCUACAGAAGGGAAAGACAUAUCCAGAAGAUCCAUCCAAACAACUAACUGAAGAGGAUGUAUUGGGACCAGCACUUGGUCAGAUUCACCGUGAAAACCAAGAGGAGAUGAGCAGAUUAUAUGAGUAUCAGUUCGACGAUUUUAAGUUCCUUCACGAACGUCGACCAAACCAAACAGACGAUCUUUGCGGCCCAAAUAGGAAGUGCCGGGAUGGAUACUUCUCUGUUUCAGACAACCCCUGGGAGUGGAGUGCCAAUAGGGUUAUGGCCCCGAGAUUAGCCUUUCGGAUGAGAAGAUUAGCCAUUAUUGCUAAAGAUAUAGCGGGGUUGCAAGGAUCAAAGAUUAUAGUGGAAAGGGCUUUCGCAGAUAAAAUAGAUCGUGGGGAAUCUAGUCUGUUUUUGGAAGGAAGGAGGUCCCGGUGUUAUUCCUUACAAUGUAAAGAGCGCUUGCAAGAAACCCGACCUUGAAAAGAAAACGUAUCUUGACUUCAAUCUGAACAGACCAGGGUGAUAACAUUUUUAUUUAUUCAAUUUAUUACCGUAAGGUGUAAAUCAAAGCAAUUGUGUUAUAUAAUUCAAUCCAUUAUUAACUUAUGUUUUUCCCACAAAACUUAAAGUUUCUGCUUCCAAUUCCACGACAAGAAAUUUUGUGCAAACUCCAGCGAAGCCAGGGAGGAGUUGGGGGAUGAACUGCUAGAACAGUUGCAGGGUGUGGCGGGGACGGAACGACUGGACAUCACAACCACUCGGGAACAGAUUAAAAGGUGCAUCGUCACUGGAUGUGGGGGAUGCUCCGGAUCAGGAAAAAAAUGGGACAAAAAGGUCAGAGCAUGUUCAGAACUCAUUGACAACUUUAUGGAACAUGCCAGUGUACCACUGCUUAGACCAACGGAGAAGAUGUCAUUCUUUAAUCCGGAUAAUGUGGAUUCAGCUGCACACGCUUAUGCCUGUAAACAGCACGGAACAAAAUGCCAAGAAACCGUUCAGCUUUACUCAAUAUUUCAAACCUUAUUGGCUAAAACAUACAAACCAAAUCCAAACACAAGCAUUGAAGAAGAGGUAUUUGGCGCAACAGACAACCCUAGCCCCCUGCUACAGAUAGUCGAGCAGGAGAUUGCCAUGAACGUGUCAGGGAAUGUGUCCAUUGUCAUUGACCACUACAAGGACAUUUCGUCAUUGCGAAGUAUUUUGAAGGUAUUAAUGAUCCACAAUCGUCGAGUUGAUUUUGUAAACUUCCACGUCAUGCACGGAGUUAAUCCUGAAAAAAUAGUGACCACUCUGCAGAGGAAACUCGAGACUUGGUCCGGUAUUUCCUGUCCAAAAUGGAGCAGGUUUGCAGCAGCACCGUUCACUGUGGAAGUCAUAUCAAAGGAUAGGAAGAGACGCAGCAUAGAGGAUAGCAGACAGCGGAACGAGGCUCGGAGGCGAAAACGAGACUGGGAGCGAGAUUGGAUUUUACGAUCGUAAUACUAUGUCGUCGACAAAUAACUUGAAUUUGAGAUGUAUUCAUUUAUUUGAAAUAAAGCACUAGCAUGU